rnacentral:rRNA from 1 species
AAUUUGCGGAAAUGGACGCAAGUCUGACCGAGCAAUGCCGUGAGAACUAUGAAGAUCAUCGGUUUUAAAAGUUUCGUUGAGAGGGAAGAAAAGACUGACUAGGCAAUUAGUGAAUGGUGACGGUACCUAACUAGAGAGUCCCGGCUAACUAUGUGCCGGCAUCCGCGGUAAUACAUAGGGGGCAAGCGUUAUCCGGAAUUAUUGGGCGUAAAGAGUGCGUAGUUGGUUUAUUAAGUCUGGUGUGAAAUCUUGCAGCUUAACUGCAAUGGGUCAUUGGAAACUGGUAAACUUGAGUACGGUAGAGGUAAGUGGAAUUCCGAGUGGAGCGGUGGAAUGCGUAGAGAUUUGGAGGAACACCAAUGGCGAAGGCAGCUUACUGGGCCGGUACUGACGCUGAUGCACGAAAGCGUGGGGAGCAAACAGG